GAUGGUGUCAACACUUCCUGUUUAGGGUUUUCGCCUUUAACAAAGAUGGUGCUUAUGGGGCACGUUCCCUAACAGUCAGGAUUCCGGUUGCAGUUUUUCUCCCCCGCCCCAAAGAUACGUGGUUGCAGACGGAGAAAUGGAGGCCAGAGACAAACAAGUACUCCGCUCACUUCGCCUGGAGCUGGGUGCAGAGGUAUUGGUGGAGGGACUGGUUCUUCAGUACCUCUACCAGGAAGGAAUCUUGACAGAAAACCAUGUUCAAGAAAUCAAUGCUCAAACCACAGGCCUCCGGAAAACAAUGCUCCUGCUGGAUAUCCUACCUUCCAGGGGCCCUAAAGCAUUUGAUGCAUUCCUAGAUUCCCUACAGGAGUUUCCCUGGGUCAGGGAGAAGCUGAAGAAGGCAAGGGAAGAGGUCAUGACCGACCUGCCUGCAGCUUCUAGAAGAUGAAUCAAUUUUGUGAGGACUUGGCCAAUAUCAAGGUCUUCAGCACGACUCAUCAGCUCGUUGCUAAUCCGAGGACAACAAAUGCCUACAAAUGCUGGUGUUGGCCGUGAUCCUUAUGAUGGAGGGGAAAGGAAUCACCAAUUUUCUACUCCAUCCCACGGAACAACUUAGAGAUGACCUAAGGCCUCGUUACCUGUGUGGAGUAACUGGGAAUUGGAAGAGAUAAAGAAACGGACAUCCCUAGGGAAUGAAGCCUAGGUCCUCGUGCCCCCCCGAAUCUGGUGCUUUUUCCUCCGUGGCACUGUGGAGGGGUUGUUGAGUAUGUGUUCCCUCUGAGGCUGAUUGGAACCUUCCUCUUCCCCAACUGAGUGAGACGCAGCUCCUGGACAGCCUUUAUGCAGUCACUUGUGUGCUCUGGUGGAUUCUCAUAACUGCGGGAAGAUGUGAAGUGCAGCUGGACCAUGAGGACAACUGAAUUGGGAACUUACAUUCUGCCAGUAGACUUUCUCCCCAUCUCUCAUCUGCCACUCCAUGCUUCAUUCUCUUAAAAUGAUCGCUUUAACAGGUACAGAGACUGCACAGAAUCUCCCAGAAGACCUUAGUCAAUGCAGAAUUAAAUGGAAAAAUUCUACUUUUGUCAAAGGUGAAAAAUCUGGCUUUCCUUACAUGCAGAACCUCUGGAGACAUCAACAUGGUCUGUAUGUAAAAAAGCCUCACCUGAUAGACUGUCAAUCACAGAAGUAAUAAAGGAAAGAAAGAAGAGAGGCAGCUGUAUUUUAUUUUAAUAUAAUUACUUUUUUUGCUUUCCUAAUACGACAAUGUGAACAUACAUUGGGCUGUUUCUCAGUGACAAAACUGGCUACCAUGGCAAUAAAUGCUCUUUACUUAGUUCUGGGUUUUUAUAAGAUGUUUGUCACUGAAAGAACAAUGUGGUGUGUAAAAUCAACCUCUUUCUAAAAUAGGUGAAAAAUAACCGAGUUGCAAACUUUAAAACGCUUAAGAGUAUGCACCUGAUGACAGUAGUGAGUUGAUUGGAGGUCCCCCUCCCCAAAUAUGCCCAUGUCGUAAUUCCCAGAACUUGUGAAUGUGUCCUCUGAAAGAAGGGUCUUGGAAGAUGUAAUUAAAUUAAGGAUCUUAAGGUGAGAAGGCCAUGCUGGAUUAUUUGAGUCUGCCCUAAAUACCAUGACAAGUGUCCUUAUAGGAGACACACAGAGGAAACCCACAGAAGAGGAAGAGGCGAUGCGACCACAGAGGCAGGGGUUGGAGUGGUGUGGCCACCAGGUUCUGGAAGAAACCAAGAACAGAUUCCCCAGAGAGCCCCUGGAGGGAGUGUGGCCCU